GGGGGCGAAAUGGUUUCGACUGGGAUUUGAGAACUUUUUUGCUGCACUUCGAGGAUGAUUGUUGGCCUCGUUAAAUAUCCAAUCAAAAAUAUAAUUGCAGACGAUUAUGAAAUGGCAAUGGCUGCGUAAGCAGUUAACUUGCUAAAAAAAAUGCAGCCCACGGGCCGCACAUCAUUUGGUGUACGCACUUUGCAUUAAAUGAUGACAACUUAAUGUGAUAGGAACCAUCUGUUAAGAGUCCUCCUCUUUGACGACGGAUGGAACCGAAAUCAAAGUCAGAACGAAGGCGUCAGGCGGACCCUGUCAACUGGUAAAAGCCUGAUGUAAAAGGAUGUUGACUAUAAGUGUAGAAGCGAUUUAGGGAAUUUUCUUAGGACGCGGGUUCAACUCCCGCCGCCUCCACCA
rnacentral:tmRNA from 1 species